rnacentral:rRNA from 1 species
UGGCUCAGAACGAACGCUGGCGGCGUGCCUCAGACAUGCAAGUCGAACGCGAAAGUCCCCUUCGGGGGGCAAGUAGAGUGGCGCACGGGUGAGUAACACGUAGGUAAUCUACCUUUGGAUUGGGAAUAACCACCGGAAACGGUGGCUAAUACCGAAUAAUGCAGCGGCACCUAAUGGUGACAGUUGUUAAAGCGGGGGAUCGCAAGACCUCGCGUCUGAAGAGGAGCCUGCGGCAGAUUAGCUAGUUGGUAUUUUAACGGCUUACCAAGGCGAAGAUCUGUAGCCGGCCUGAGAGGGCGGUCGGCCACACUGUCUUUGACAUACGGGAAAGACUCCUACGGGAGUCAUCACUGGGGA